rnacentral:SRP_RNA from 1 species
CGCACUAGUUGGGGAGAUAGCGGUGCCCUGUAACCUGCAACCCGCUACAGCAGGGAUGAAUUCCCGCACCCGGACUUGUUCGGUAUCGUCUGACCCUCGUAAGUGGUGUUGAGGGAUCGGUCUCACGCAACAGGCUCCCGUGAACCAUGUCAGGUGGGGAACCAAGCAGCAUUAAGCGGGCUCGUUUGUGUGCCGUGAGGAAGCCGUUCCUGAGCUAACUGCCUGGGUAACGGGUAUUGCGCAGGUUCAAAUGCGGGUG